rnacentral:rRNA from 1 species
CAACGCGAAGAACCUUACCUACUCUUGACAUCCAGAGAACUUUGCAGAGAUGCUUUGGUGCCUUCGGGAACUCUGAGACAGGUGCUGCAUGGCUGUCGUCAGCUCGUGUUGUGAAAUGUUGGGUUAAGUCCCGCAACGAGCGCAACCCUUAUCCUUUGUUGCCAGCGAUUCGGUCGGGAACUCAAAGGAGACUGCCGGUGAUAAACCGGAGGAAGGUGGGGAUGACGUCAAGUCAUCAUGGCCCUUACGAGUAGGGCUACACACGUGCUACAAUGGCGUAUACAAAGAGAAGCGAACUUGCGAGAGUAAGCGGACCUCAUAAAGUACGUCGUAGUCCGGAUUGGAGUCUGCAACUCGACUCCAUGAAGUCGGAAUCGCUAGUAAUCGUAGAUCAGAAUGCUACGGUGAAUACGUUCCCGGGCCUUGUACACACCGCCCGUCACACCAUGGGAGUGGGUUGCAAAAGAAGUAGGUAGCUUAACCUUCGGGAGGGCGCUUACCACUUUGUGAUUCAUGACUGGGGUGAAGUCGUAAC